rnacentral:rRNA from 1 species
AUGUGCGUGUGCGUGUGCGUGCAGCAGCUCAUGGCGGCACUGGAAGCAGUGUGCGUGUGCGUGCAGCAGCUCAUGACGGCGCUGGGCACGUCGGAGAGCUGCAAGGACGCCUGGAAGGGCGCCGAUGAGGGGUCCGUGCCCGUUGCCUACUGGCUCGCCUUUCUUCGUCGCCCCGCAGCGAGCUGGUCGAGAACUGCCGGAGCGCAUGUUGGCCGGGCUCCGCAGCCGCACGGGGCGUGCACGGGCUUGCAUGCUGGCCGGGUUUGGUGGCUGCAGCCGCCGCGUGCUGGCCGGGCUAGCCACCGCUGUUCAUUGCUCAAGUUGAAAAGGGGGGCGUAUGCUUCGACCUUCUCUAUCAUCAGUAGCGACUAUGGGGCUUGUAUUGAUAGCAGAAAUCAGAACAAGGCAGCGCAAGCCACGACCUCUCCUGUGUGCUCUGUUUUCCUCCCCGUCGGGACCAGGCAGAGGAGGAGCGGUGCGAGCCACGGAGAUGACGAGGUGGUCGAGCUUCCUGUGGCGCCAUCGCCGUACCUCACGGCCCAGCUAGAGGAGUGCGCACAGGGGGAGUGGCGGGUCAAGAUCCGGAGACGGCGGGGCGGCGACCAUUCCCGUGAGGCCCGGCGGCGAGCAGAGCUCCUAUUGCUGAGCGUCGAGGGGCCGAAGGGCGCUCCGGAUCCGGAUCCGGGCGAGGUGGCAGCCAUGGCCGAGCUCGAGCUGCUUGGCGUCCCCGAGGGCGCCUCCUUCGACGAGAUCCUGCGCACCCCGUCCUCGCCUCCUGCAAGGAUGACCCAGAUGCCGUCGCCCAGGUCCCUCCUCCCUCCUCCCUCCUCCCAAACUUCUCCUCCACUCCAUGUUGUCCCCUUUCCACAAGUUGCUAAUUUAGGAGAAGAAGUCGCCUCCAUCAAAUUGGAAAUGCAUGAAUGGCGACUGGUAGCGCGAUUUGAGGAGGAGGAGCGAGGUCGAAAGAUGGCAGCCAGUCCGACCACGUCCUCUCUUCAUCCCUUUCUCCCUUUCGAUCUUGGAUUUGAUAUGGACGCCGUUGUCGCCGUGGUUGCCUCGCCGUCGUGGCUCAGGAGACCGGAAAGGAAAGUGACCAGAGACACAUAUUCUCCUCUCCUUGGCAGUGACGCAGGCCGGCAACGAGGAGGCUUGCAAUGGUGUGUGCCUAACAGGAUUGUAGUGAGCUUCCAGGAAGAGGUGAAUGCAGCAGGACAUGUGCCUUUUGGAUCGAACAUAGAAGACAAAACAGAGAAGAGAGACUACAUGUUCUUGCAAGAUGCAGUCGUGCUGCUGAUAGAAACAAUUUUAUCUCAAGCCAUAAGUAGGAGAGCUGAGUUUAGCUGUGUUUCGUGCAAUGGAGCUGUCUACUCCUGCCAAUGGCAACCUUAUGGGCCGGCAAGGUGUGUCGACGCAGUGGGCAUGUCGUUCGUGUCAUUUUGCAAACAUUUCUGGUACUAUCGAAUCUACUAUUCAGCCAAUAGCAUUACUGUAGCUUGCGCUUUUUCUGCAUAUUUCAAUGUUGGUUCUCAGAAAGUGAAGCUCGCCUGCAUGCACUUCCGCCAGUUCUAUGAGGCAAUAUGCAAAGAAGGAGUUAAAUCUGGCACGACACUAUUCCUGUACGAUGUUGAGCACUGUAAGCUUCAUGGGGUAUUUGAAGCAACUUCAGAUGGAGCCAUGAAUAUCAUUCCUGAUGCAUAUGCAUCGUCAGUGUUUUGGUAUCCUUAUCUGGUUUUCCUGAUUGUCUGGCACCUUAUUAGGAGACGACGACCGCUACCAUGA